GAUGAAGAACGUAGCGAAAUGCGAUAAGUAAUGUGAAUUGCAGAAUUCAGUGAAUCAUCGAAUCUUUGAACGCACAUUGCGCCCGCUGGUAUUCCGGCGGGCAUGCCUGUUCGAGCGUCAUUUCAACCCUCAAGCCCCCCGGGUUUGGUGUUGGGGAUCGGCUCUGCCUCACGGCGGUGCCGCCCCCGAAAUACAUUGGCGGUCUCGCUGCAGCCUCCAUUGCGUAGUAGCUAACACCUCGCAACUGGAACGCGGCGCGGCCAUGCCGUAAAACCCCAACUUCUGAAUGUUGACCUCGGAUCAGGUAGGAAUACCCGCUGAACUUAAGCAUAUCAAUAAGCGGAGGA
rnacentral:misc_RNA from 1 species